AAUAAUCCCCUGGAUAUGUGCUCAUUAAGCCUCUGUGGAAAUACUUAAACCACCUUGGGCUCUCCAGGAAGGGUAACAGCCCCACAGCCCCAAUCCGAGAUGAAGUUAGCCCUGACUUUUGCAAUCUGGAUGACACCAGUCUUGCCUUAAACUCUACUAAAUCUUUUUAAGCAGGUUGGCAGUUUCGAUCACCCUGUGAAGCGGACAGAAAUAUUGCUUCCAUUCAGCAGGUGAGACAGCUGAGAGUUGGGACGAUAAGAGUGCCAUCUGGAAGGUUAGCCAGUUUACGCAUGAUACAGCCUAGACAAGAGAAGAGGAGAUUUGACUCUAGGCCACCACACCGCUCUGCUACUCAAAAGAAAACUCCACUGAAAACCAAACAGCAUUGUUUCUGGGCUGGAUCUGUUUACCUCUGCCCGAGCUUUCCUUCCCACAAGACUUAAUUACUCAUUGCUAGCACCACGCACCUUCAGGAGUCAUGUGUGUGGUAUUCAUUUAAAGAGAAAUAUAACAUAAAAUAGCUCAGAGAUGGAUGUGCUUCCCCCAGGAAGGGUGCAAUGACUCCCACAGACAGGGGAGUCUAGGGGGCGGAUGAUGGAAACGAGUGAGAAGGGAGGAGGCGGCAGCGAGGCAGGAGUCUCGGUGGGUGGGGUGGAUGUUUACUUGAGAUCCUCGCCUCCCUUCAUCAACUUUAUUACUCACCAGCACGCAACAAUUACUCCUCCUGUCCUGAUAUUUCCCUUGGACGAGCUGGCUCACCAUGCUGCGAACAUUUGUAAGCUUUGGGGAGGCUGAGUACCCCUGACGCUUAGCUAGAUUUUUGUUAGAAAGGGAUUCAUUUUGUAUAAUUCUUACAAUGCAUAUUAAACACGACUUGGAGUA